rnacentral:tRNA from 1 species
CAGUGAAUAGUUUAAUUAAAAUUUUAAUUUUGGAUAUUAAAGAUGCUCAUGUGUUUUACUGA